UCAAUAGAUUGACUCAAAGUGCAGAUGACAACUUAAAAGGGAACUACAACCUUGCAUUCAUUCAUGUUGGUUGCAGAAAGCAGCAGGGCUGCCACUGCUAAUGAGAAGAGGCCUGUGGGAAAAUUUGAACAUUACUAUGUUGGAGUACUUAUGUAACUCAAUGCAUAAAAUUGGUCUGCUGUUGGGCGUCGUAUAUGAAGUUUUUGAGUUGCAAUUCUUCCCAAAUGGAGGAAUUGGGAUCGCGGUAUGGUUCGAUUUGUGCAUCUAUGGCUUGGUGGUGUUCCUUCUAUGGGAUGUUAUAUGGCAG